rnacentral:rRNA from 1 species
AACGAACGCUGGCGGCAGGCUUAACACAUGCAAGUCGAGCGCCCCGCAAGGGGAGCGGCAGACGGGUGAGUAACGCGUGGGAAUCUACCCUUUUCUACGGAAUAACGCAGGGAAACUUGUGCUAAUACCGUAUGUGCCCUUCGGGGGAAAGAUUUAUCGGGAAAGGAUGAGCCCGCGUUGGAUUAGCUAGUUGGUGGGGUAAAGGCCUACCAAGGCGACGAUCCAUGGCUGGUCUGAGAGGAUGAUCAGCCACAUUGGGACUGAGACACGGCCCAAACUCCUACGGGAGGCAGCAGUGGGGAAUAUUGGACAAUGGGCGCAAGCCUGAUCCAGCCAUGCCGCGUGAGUGAUGAAGGCCCUAGGGUUGUAAAGCUCUUUCACCGGUGAAGAUAAUGACGGUAACCGGAGAAGAAGCCCCGGCUAACUUCGUGCCAGCCGCCGCGGUAAUAC